rnacentral:rRNA from 1 species
CCUACGGGAGGCUGCAGUGGGGAAUAUUGGACAAUGGGGGCAACCCUGAUCCAGCCAUGCCGCGUGUGUGAAGAAGGCCCUCGGGUUGUAAAGCACUUUCAGGGAGGAAGAACGCCUGGUGGUUAAUACCCAUCAGGAAAGACAUCACUCACAGAAGAAGCACCGGCUAACUCCGUGCCAGCAGCCGCGGUAAUACGGAGGGUGCGAGCGUUAAUCGGAAUUACUGGGCGUAAAGCGCGCGUAGGUGGCUUGAUAAGCCGGUUGUGAAAGCCCCGGGCUCAACCUGGGAACGGCAUCCGGAACUGUCAAGCUAGAGUGCAGGAGAGGAAGGUAGAAUUACCGGUGUAGCGGUGAAAUGCGUAGAGAUCGGGAGGAAUACCAGUGGCGAAGGCGGCCUUCUGGACUGACACUGACACUGAGGUGCGAAAGCGUGGGUAGCAAACAGGAUUAGAUACCCCUGUAGUC